rnacentral:rRNA from 1 species
GAUGAACGCUGGCGGCGUGCCUAAUACAUGCAAGUCGAGCGAACGGACGAUAAGCUUGCUUUUCUGAUGUUAGCGGCGGACGGGUGAGUAACACGUGGAUCACCUACCUAUAAGACUGGGAUAAUUUCGGGAAACCGGAGCUAAUACCGGAUAAUAUUUUGAACCGCAUGGUUCAAAAGUGAAAGACGGUCUUGGUGUCACUUAUCGAUGGAUCCGCGCUGCAUUAGCUAGUUGGUAAGGUAACGGCUUACGAAGGCAACGAUGCAUAGCCGACCUGAGAGGGUGAUCGGCCACACGGGAAGUGAGACACGCUCCAUACUCCUACGGGAGGCAGCAGUAGGGAAUCUGCCGCAAUGGGCGAAAGCCUGACGGAGCAACGCCGCGUGAGUGAUGAAGGUCUUCGGAUCGUAAAACUCUGUUAUUAGGGAAGAACAGAUGUGUAAGGAACUGUGCACAUCUUGACGGUACCUAAUCAGAAAGCCACGGCUAACUACGUG